rnacentral:rRNA from 1 species
UACAGAGGAUGCAAGCGUUAUCCGGAAUGAUUGGGCGUAAAGCGUCUGUAGGUGGCUUUUUAAGUCCGCCGUCAAAUCCCAGGGCUCAACUCUGGACAGGCGGUGGAAACUACCAAGCUGGAGUACGGUAGGGGCAGAGGGAAUUUCCGGUGGAGCGGUGAAAUGCGCAGAUAUCAGGAGGAACACCAAUUGCGAAGGCAGCUCGCUGGGACGUACUGACGCUGAGACGCGAAGCGUGGGGAGCAAACAGG